rnacentral:rRNA from 1 species
UAGGGAAUAUUGGACAAUGGGGGCAACCCUGAUCCAGCCAUGCCGCGUGAGUGAAGAAGGCCCUCGGGUUGUAAAGCUCUUUUGUCCGGAAAGAAAAGCUUCGGGUUAAUACCCCGGGGUUCUGACGGUACCGGAAGAAUAAGCACCGGCUAACUUCGUGCCAGCAGCCGCGGUAAUACGAAGGGUGCAAGCGUUACUCGGAAUUACUGGGCGUAAAGCGUGCGUAGGUGGUUGUUUAAGUCUGAUGUGAAAGCCCUGGGCUCAACCUGGGAAUGGCAUUGGAAACUGGGCAGCUAGAGUGCGGUAGAGGGUAGUGGAAUUCCCGGUGUAGCAGUGAAAUGCGUAGAGAUCGGGAGGAACAUCUGUGGCGAAGGCGACUGCCUGGACCAGCACUGACACUGAGGCACGAAAGCGUGGGGAGCAACCA